ACAGAAACAGCGCCUUCGAAAUCCUUCACACUCCCCAUCUGUGAAACCUUCACUCACACAAACCACCUUGCAGUUGUGCUCAAUAAUGCAGGGUCCCCUGAAUGUGAAACUCUCUGAUUCGCAUGUCCUACCCAUCGCCUCCUCUGCAUUUUUGUAGACACACAUCAAUCUUUUAUAUACAUACAUACAGAUUUAGAGAGAGAGAGAGAGAGAGAGAGAGAGAGAGAAUUACCAGAGGCCAAAGCGAACACCAAAACCAGGACAAGGCCAAUAACGUGUUUAGCAUUCAUCCUUAACCUGCAUCAUAAUCCUCCACUGUAUUUGGGUAUUUAUACUAAUCCGAUAUGGAUCAACGCGGACAACUGGAUAUGUUUGAAUUAAAUGCUGCUGCUCCAUUUCUGAAAGCAGGUCGUGGGAAGAAUAGACCGAGAGGGCCUAAUCCUUUCACAUCUAAUCCACUGUAUCAAUAUUCUUGGCAGAAGUGAUAACGGGCCGUCUUGUUACCGUAUUUGAUCUCGUCGUUCUUGUACCCAAAUUAGCAGAUAGCUGUGCUAUAGAUACAAGAUAAGCUUGUCAUGAAAUCAAGGUGACAUUUUUCAAUUGAGUUCGUAACGGGCACAGAACCAACAUAUAUAUUUGCAUUGUGAGUACCAUGUAUCGUGGUGAAAGCUGAAACCCUGUUCCACUGCUCCGGUCUCUCUUCCUUUUUUUUUCCCCCUCUUUUUUUUAGGAUUAAAUUCAAUAAUAUUAAGAGUAGAUUAAAGGCGUGCAGCAGAUUUCCCAAAGGUAAGAUUGUUGUUCAAAAUACAAUCAAGAUUAGUAGAGGCCGUCCUAAUUGGAAUGAAAAGCCCCCUUUGCCAAUGCAAGUUUUGGAGUUUGCUUGCUAAUGCUGGCCGAUGUGUUUAAAUUUUCACCAUGGUCAUUUACAAAUAAGUUGUAUGAUCAUCCCCACGGUUGGUUGGUUUACAUGCUCCAGUUCUCUAAUUCUCAUGUCUGAUGAAACUGUGACAAAAGCAAACAAUUUAUACUGUUGCGUUAACCUUAGCUCUACUGCCACCGUCCAAAUUCUUUCUAGACGAAUCAAUCACAAUUAGUUGCAAAAAUUUUCUUGGUAUUUGAAAGAUAAACGACGUUGCAGGAGGAGAAUGCACUUGCCAAGCAUACAAUUUGUAGCUAUAAAGAUCAAUUUCCAUGCUGCAUAGGCUUAAAAACAGCAGAGAGACAACCAUACAUGUAUCUUCUACAUUAUUCUGACGCCCUUCACAUGACUACUCACUAUAAUGAUAAAAAGGCCAUUCACACUUCAAGCACUGAACGAGAGCUAAAACUUCUGAAACCACAUCAUCUUCCAAACUCAUGGCUUGCAAAAGAACUUCAUCAACACGGGCUAUAAUUCUACUUAGUGGCUGCCACCAAAGCCAUAUGCUCUA